AUAAUGACUUCGGUCCAAAGAUUUAUCGCCCAGGGAUCAGCCCGCGUCUGAUUAGUUUGUUGGUGAGGUAACGGCUCACCAAGGCUACGAUCAGUAGCUGGUCUGAGAGGAUGAUCAGCCACACUGGAACUGAGACACGUUCAAAACUCAUACGGGAGGCAGCAGUGAGGAAUAUUGGACAAUGGGCGAAAGCCUGAUCCAGCCAUGCCGCGUGAGUGAAGAAGGCCUUAGGGUUGUAAAGCUCUUUCAAUGGUGAAGAUAAUGACGGUAGCCAUAGAAGAAGCCCCGGCUAAAUUCGUGCCAGCAGCCGCGAUAAUACGAAUGGGGCAAGCGUUGUUCGGAAUCACUGGGCUUAAAGCGUGCGCAGGCGGUCUGUAAAGUCAGAAGUGAAAUCCCAGGCCUUAACCCUGGAACUGCUUUUGAAACUCACAGGCUAGAAUCGGGGAGAGGUUGGGAGAAUUCCUAGUGUAGAGGUGAAAUUCGCAGAUAUAAGAAGGAAUACCAGUGGCGUAGCCGCCCAACUGUACCGGUAUUGACGCUCAUGUACGGAGAGCGUGGGGAGCAAACAGAAUUAGAUACCCUGGUAGUCCACG
rnacentral:rRNA from 1 species